AUCAUGCUCUACUAUCUACAGGUCUGUGUAAAAAAUGGAAUUUAAGUCAUUUAUCGUGUCAUGAUUCUAGGUCUUCUUCUGUUUCUUCAUUCUAUAACCGUUCCUUCAAAAGUGGUCUGUAGAAACAUAUGGUGUCUGCAGAUGUGUACUAAUUUUGUUUGAAUACUCUCGAAGCACUUUCGCAUAUUACGUUUUUCGAUUACUUGUUCUAAAAUAUUUGUUCAAGUUCUUCUCACUAUUCAACUUAUAUCGUAUCCACGUUUCCGUGGUUUUCAGUUCGUAUUGGUCCGUGGCUCU